GUCUACAUAAGGGGAGAAGGUGGUUCCAUAGAACUCCAUUCAACGGUUUUGAUGCAACCGCGGCUGAUUUACUUCCGCCUCCAAAAUACGGAAGUGAAAUAAUCACCCUGGCAACGUUGAGCUACAUUACCGAUAGGUCGACAUCGCUGACAGCGCCAGCCAAUCCGAAAACACCUACUUGUCAAGUCAUAUGUCCCGCCCUCCCACCCGAUGCUGCCGCAUCGUCAGAGAUGAAAAUAUGUCAUGGCGUCUCAAGAUAUUAAAACAAGUUCUCAGCUGUGGAAAUAGUCAACACCGAAAACCUUGAUUGUCACAAAACCACCAACGCAAGUUGAAAUACAACUGGAGAUCGGCACAAACCAUGGAAGUUGAAGAAAGGCUCCUCAUCGUCAAGCAGUCAUCCAGAGUGAAGAUUGCAGUCAAGCAGUCAUGACCCCCCUCCCCCCAGUUUUCGAGAAAAUUCAGAAUAAAAGAACCCCUUCUCAUUCUUAAAUCAUAUUACUUAAGUAAACGGUGGGCAACCCAAAACCUUUCAGUUAGUAAAGCACAGGUAAUACAGUAUGACCAUUACACCAUCUGGUAUUUUGAGUACUUGAAAUUCAGAUUAAAGUGAAAUCUUGACUUCA